rnacentral:rRNA from 1 species
CGGACGGGUGAGUAACACGUGGGUAACCUGCCCUGCACAGGGGGAUAACACCUGGAAACAGGUGCUAAAACCGCAUAAGCGCACAGAGGCGCAUGCCUCAGUGUGAAAAACUCCGGUGGUGCAGGAUGGACCCGCGUCUGAUUAGGCAGUUGGCGGGGUAACGGCCCACCAAACCGACGAUCAGUAGCCGGCCUGAGAGGGUGGACGGCCACAUUGGGACUGAGACACGGCCCAAACUCCUACGGGAGGCAGCAGUGGGGAAUAUUGGGGCAAUGGGGCGAAGGCCUGACCCCAGCAAACGCGGCGUGAGGGAAGAAGGGUUUUCGGAUUGUAAACCUCUGUCCUCAAGGACGAAGGAAGUGACGGUACUUGAGGAGGAAGCCCCGGCUAACUACGUGCCAGCAGCCGCGGUAAUACGUAGGGGGCGAGCGUUGUCCGGAAUGACUGGGCGUAAAGGGCGUGUAGGCGGCUGAUUAAGUCUGGAGUGAAAGUCCUGCUUUCAAGGUGGGAAUUGCUUUGGAGACUGGUCGGCUUGAGUGCGGAAGAGGUAAGUGGAAUUCCCAGUGUAGCGGUGAAAUGCGUAGAGAUUGGGAGGAACACCAGUGGCGAAGGCGACUUACUGGGCCGUAACUGACGCUGAGGCGCGAAAGCGUGGGGAGCGAACAGGAUUAGAUACCCUGGUAGUCCACGCUGUAAACGAUGAAUGCUAGGUGUAGCGGGUAUCGACCCCUGCUGUGCCGGAGUAAACACAAUAAGCAUUCCGCCUGGGGAGUACGGCCGCAAGGUUGAAACUCAAAGGAAUUGACGGGGGCCCGCACAAGCAGCGGAGCAUGUUGUUUAAUUCGAAGCAACGCGAAGAACCUUACCAAGUCUUGACAUCUGGAUGACAGAGCAUGUAAAGUGCUUUCUCUUCGGAGCAUCCAAGACAGGUGGUGCAUGGUUGUCGUCAGCUCGUGUCGUGAGAUGUUGGGUUAAGUCCCGCAACGGGCGCAACCCUUAUUCCUAGUAGCCAGCGGAUAAGCCGGGCACUCUAGGGAGACUGCCGGGGAUAACCCGGAGGAAGGUGGGGAUGACGUCAAAUCAUCAUGCCCCUUAUGAUUUGGGCUACACACGUGCUACAAUGGCGUAAACAAAGGGAAGCGAACCUGCGAGGGGGAGCGAAACCCAAAAAUAACGUCCCAGUUCGGACUGCAGUCUGCAACCCGACUGCACGAAGCUGGAAUCGCUAGUAAUCGCGGAUCAGAAUGCCGCGGUGAAUACGUUCCCGGGUCUUGUACACACCGCCCGUCACACCAUGGGAGUCGGAAAUGCCCGAAGUCUGUGACCUAACCGAAAGGGGGGAGCAGCCGAAGGCAGGUCGGAUGACUGGGGUGAAGUCGUAACAAGGUAG